rnacentral:sRNA from 1 species
GCUGGGCAUGGUGGGGCAGGCCUGUCGUCCCAGCUACCUGGGAGGCUGAGGCAGGAGGAUCACAAGUUCAAGGCCAGCUGCAGCAAGUUAGCGAGACCCUGUCUCAA